rnacentral:misc_RNA from 1 species
AAACUCGUUAUAACUAAUUGACUGCCAUGCCACUCCACCAUGAAAAUAAUCCUCACUUCUUUACACCACAACAGCAGCGUGAAGGCCAACAUCCCCUGACACCACCUACUCCUGCGGGGACCCCACCUGGUCCAGGCCUGCUGUCACAGCCACCGCAGCGUCGGGACCGACAAGAACAGCCACCUAGUCAACGUGUUCCAAAACCUCAACGCCAACCCUCCAAGCCACAGGGACAGGUUGAUGGCCCAUUGCAAGCUCCAUGGAAGCAAUCAGCCCCACGUCAAGAGCAACCACCCCAAUCUCAUCCACAAGAUCAACGACAUGAUGGUGAAUACCGUAGUCCCUGGAUGUUCCCACACCAUCCAGAUGAAGACCACCGCAGUCAUGAUCCACUGCGUGAUGGCAAAUACCGUAGUCCUUGGAUUCCUCCACCAUCGCAGAAUCCAGAUGAAGACAUCAAGAUCAGUCCCCCGCAUACUCGUCCACCACAACAAGAUCAGCAAUCCAAGAAGCCCAAAACUACCGGGGUGACACAACCACAGGAUCAAGACCACUACCCCUUCCAUCCCAAUGAUGGUCUCCCACCAGCACAGCAACAGGACCGCUCUCGCCAUCCUCGUGGUUUGAGGACUCCAGCACCCCAGCAAACCAUGCCAAUAACAUGGUUAGGUGCAGCCUUGUGCGCCAUUUUCUGUAUUGUAAUAUUCCUAGGAGGCCUCAUUGUGCUCAUUGUGUAUCUAGUCUAUCGCCCACGUAGCCCUUGGUUCGAGGUGUCUAGUGUCACUUUGAAUGCAGCCUACGUCGAUGCAGGUUCUCUGCUGAAUGCUGAUAUCUCUUUGCUUGUAAACUUCACCAAUCCAAACAAAAAGGUUGGUCUGGAGUUCAGUCACAUGAUCAUUGAUCUAUACUAUGAGAAUACUCUCAUGGCAACCCAAUAUAUCGAAUCUUUCUCAGCACCAAAGGCUCAGUCCAGGUUUGCGAGCGUUCAUAUGAUAACAAGCCAGGUUCGGCUUCCCAUGGGAGACAGCGCACGGCUUCAGGAGCAGAUAAAUAGAAAUGGAAUCAUAUUUGACGUCAAAGGAGUAUUUCGGGUGCGAUCUAAGCUGGGGAAUUUCCUUACAUACUCCUAUCGCCUUUAUGGUCAUUGCACCAUCAUGGUGACAGCUCCUCCUACUGGUGUCCUAACAGCAACCAGAUGCAGAACAAAACGUUGAGUUGUUCUGUCUCCCAUAAGAAUUAAUUUUGCAGUGUCAAUAACGAUUCUUCCUCCUUGCUUAAUAGCAUCUUCUUUUGAGUCUAAUUACAACGUUUUCAAGGAAAUGCCUAUUCUCCGCUUUGGAUUAUUUCUAUCCCAUUUUCUUCACAUUUGCAUACUUUCUUC